UACGUAGGGUGCAAGCGUUGUCCGGAAUUAUUGGGCGUAAAGAGCUCGUAGGCGGUCUGUCGCGUCGGAUGUGAAAACCCGGGGCUUAACCCCGGGCCUGCAUUCGAUACGGGCAGACUCGAGUGUGGUAGGGGAGACUGGAACUCAUGGUGUAGCGGUGAAAUGCGCAGAUAUCAGGAGGAACACCAGCGGCGAAGGCGGCGCUCUGGGCCGGCACUGACGCUGAGGAGCGAAAGCGUGGGGAGCGAACAGG
rnacentral:rRNA from 1 species